rnacentral:rRNA from 1 species
AUUGAACGCUGGCGGCAUGCCUAACACAUGCAAGUCGAGCGGAUGAAGGGAGCUUUCUCCUGGAUUCAGCGUCGGACGGGUGAGUAAUGCCUAUGAAUCUGCCUGGUAGUGGGGGAUAACGUCCGGAAACGGGCGCUAAUACUGCAUACUUCCUGUGGGAGAAAGUGGGUGAUCUUCGGACCUCACGCUAUCAGAUGAUCCUAGGUCGGAUUAGCUAGUUGGUGGGGUAAAGGCCUACCAAGGCGACGAUCGGUAACUGGUCUUAGAGGAUGAUCAGUCAACCUGGAACUGAGACAGGGUCCGGACUCCUACGGGAGGCAGAAGUGGGGAAUAUUGGACAAUGGGCGAAAGCCUGAUCCAGAAAUGCGGCGUGUGUGAAGAAGGUCUCGGGAUUGUAAAGCCCUUUAAGUUGGGAGGAAGGGCAGUAGGUUAAUACCUUGCUGUUUUGACGUUACCAAAAGAAUAAGCACCGGCUAACUUCGUG